AAAACUUCAACAACGGAUCUCUUGGUUCUGGCAUCGAUGAAGAACGCAGCGAAAUGCGAUAAGUAAUGUGAAUUGCAGAAUUCAGUGAAUCAUCGAAUCUUUGAACGCACAUUGCGCCCUCUGGUAUUCCGGGGGGCAUGCCUGUUCGAGCGUCAUU
rnacentral:rRNA from 1 species